UGGGGAAUAUUGGACAAUGGGGGGAACCCUGAUCCAGCCAUGCCGCGUGUGUGAAGAAGGCCUUAUGGUUGUAAAGCACUUUAAGCGAGGUGGAGGCUCUCUUGGUUAAUACCCAAGAAGAGUGGACGUUACUCGCAGAAUAAGCACCGGCUAACUCUGUGCCAGCAGCCGCGGUAAUACAGAGGGUGCGAGCGUUAAUCGGAUUUACUGGGCGUAAAGCGUGCGUAGGCGGCUUUUUAAGUCGGAUGUGAAAUCCCCGAGCUUAACUUGGGAAUUGCAUUCGAUACUGGGAAGCUAGAGUAUGGGAGAGGAUGGUAGAAUUCCAGGUGUAGCGGUGAAAUGCGUAGAGAUCUGGAGGAAUACCGAUGGCGAAGGCAGCCAUCUGGCCUAAUACUGACGCUGAGGUACGAAAGCAUGGGGAGCAAACAGG
rnacentral:rRNA from 1 species